rnacentral:rRNA from 2 species
GACGAAGGAUGCAAGCGUUAUCCGGAUUCAUUGGGUUUAAAGGGAGCGUAGGCGGCCUUAUAAGUCAGUGGUGAAAUCUCCUCGCUUAACGAGGAAAUUGCCAUUGAUACUGUAGGGCUUGAGUACAGUUGCCGUUGGCGGAAUAUGACAUGUAGUGGUGAAAUACAUAGAGAUGUCAUAGAACACCGAUUGCGAAGGCAGCUAACGAAACUGUAACUGACGCUGAGGCUCGAAAGUGCGGGGAUCAAACAGG